rnacentral:ncRNA from 2 species
GAGCCGUUCCGUGGUGAUUUGGCCGGUCGGCUUGCAGCCACGUUAAAGAAAUCGCUAAAAAUGGCCGAGGAUGACGAGUU